UCGAGGGGCAGCAUUUUAGUUUGCUUGCGAACUGAAGAUGGCGACCGGCGCACGGGUGAGUAACACGUAUCCAACCUGCCGAUAACUCCGGAAUAGCCUUUCGAAAGAAAGAUUAAUACCGGAUAGCAUACGAAUAUCGCAUGAUAUUUUUAUUAAAGAAUUUCGGUUAUCGAUGGGGAUGCGUUCCAUUAGUUUGUUGGCGGGGUAACGGCCCACCAAGACUACGAUGGAUAGGGGUUCUGAGAGGAAGGUCCCCACAUUGGAACUGAGACACGGUCCAAACUCCUACGGGAGGCAGCAGUGAGGAAUAUUGGUCAAUGGGCGAGAGCCUGAACCAGCCAAGUAGCGUGAAGGAUGAAGGCUCUAUGGGUCGUAAACUUCUUUUAUGUGGGACUAGAGUUUUCCACGUGUGGAAUUUUGUAUGUACCAUAUGAAUAAGGAUCGGCUAACUCCGUGCCAGCAGCCGCGGUAAUACGGAGGAUCCGAGCGUUAUCCGGAUUUAUUGGGUUUAAAGGGAGCGUAGGUGGA
rnacentral:rRNA from 1 species